GGGGGAGUGUCCCGAGCGGCAAAGGGGGCGGACUGUAAAUCCGCUGGCUAUGCCUUCACAGGUUCGAGUCCUGUCUCCCCCACCA
rnacentral:tRNA from 1 species